GAGUUUGAUCCUGGCUCAGGAUGAACGCUAGCGGGAGGCCUAACACAUGCAAGCUGAGCGGUAGAGAUCUUUCGGGAUCUUGAGAGCGGCGUACGGGUGCGGAACACGUGUGCAACCUGCCUUUAUCAGGGGGAUAGCCUUUCGAAAGGAAGAUUAAUACCCCAUAAUAUAUUAAAUGGCAUCAUUUGAUAUUGAAAACUCCGGUGGAUAGAGAUGGGCACGCGCAAGAUUAGAUAGUUGGUGAGGUAACGGCUCACCAAGUCGAUGAUCUUUAGGGGGCCUGAGAGGGUGAUCCCCCACACUGGUACUGAGACACGGACCAGACUCCUACGGGAGGCAGCAGUGAGGAAUAUUGGACAAUGGGUUAGCGCCUGAUCCAGCCAUCCCGCGUGAAGGACGACGGCCCUAUGGGUUGUAAACUUCUUUUGUACAGGGAUAAACCUAUUUACGUGUAAAUAGCUGAAGGUACUGUACGAAUAAGCACCGGCUAACUCCGUG
rnacentral:rRNA from 1 species